UUGUAGCCUCGCUAUGGUAUAACUUAGUGGCAGACGUGGUGAGUAAUGUAUAGGAAUCUACCUAGUAGUACGGAAUAAUUGUUGGAAACGACAACUAAUACCGUAUACGCCCUACGGGGGAAAAAUUUAUUGCUAUUAGAUGAGCCUAUAUUAGAUUAGCUAGUUGGUGGGGUAAUAGCCUACCAAGGUAAUGAUCUAUAGCUGAUCUGAGAGGAUGAUCAGCCACACUGGAACUGAGAUACGGUCCAGACUCCUACGGGAGGCAGCAGUGGGGAAUAUUGGACAAUGGGCGAAAGCCUGAUCCAGCCAUGCCGCAUGAGUGAAGAAGGCCUUUGGGUUGUAAAGCUCUUUUAGUGAGGAAGAUAAUGACGGUACUCACAGAAGAAGUCCUGGCUAACUCCGUGCCAGCAGCCGCGGUAAUACGGAGAGGGCUAGCGUUAUUCGGAAUUAUUGGGCGUAAAGGGCGCGUAGGCUGGUUAAUAAGUUAAAAGUGAAAUCCCGAGGCUUAACCUUGGAAUUGCUUUUAAAACUAUUAAUCUAGAGAUUGAAAGAGGAUAGGGGAAUUCCUGAUGUAGAGGUAAAAUUCGUAAAUAUUAGGAGGAACACCAGUGGCGAAGGCGUCUAUCUGGUUCAAAUCUGACGCUGAAGCGCGAAGGCGUGGGGAGCAAACAGGAUUAGAUACCCUGGUAGUCCACGCUGUAAACGAUGAAUGUUAAAUAUGGGGAGUUUACUUUCUGUAUUACAGCUAACGCGUUAAACAUUCCGCCUGGGGACUACGGUCGCAAGAUUAAAACUCAAAGGAAUUGACGGGGACCCGCACAAGCGGUGGAGCAUGUGGUUUAAUCGAUGCAACGCGAAAAACCUAUACCACUUCUUGACAUGAAAAUCAUACCUAUUC
rnacentral:rRNA from 1 species